rnacentral:lncRNA from 1 species
CAACAUUCCAACAACAAUGGAACUUCAGCAAAUCAUCUAAGUUUUCAUCUACAAAAAAAUAUCCAAAAUUUUUAUCUAAACUCUAUCCAACAAAUUUCAUCCAUGGUAUUGUUCAACUAACUUUGAUACCUUGUUACAAAUAACAAAUGUGUUAUUAAAACAUAAUGGAUAUCAUUUGUUGCAAAUGAAAUGUGCUGGAAGCGAAGGGGAGAGCACUUCCAAUGUCUUAUUUAAGAGCUAGAUAAAUCACAGCUUUUGGUACAUUUAAUAUGGGACAUUCAAUAGAAAAGCUGGAAGAAGUUACAAUAUCUUAGCCAUUGCUCUCUACCAAAUUUUGUGAAGUGCCUUCCAAUGCU